AACGUAGGAGACAAACGUUAUCCGGAAUUACUGGGCGUAAAGCGUGCGCAGGCGGUGGCUCAAGCCAGGCGUGAAAUCCCCGGGCUUAACCUGGGAAUGGCGUUUGGGACUGGGUCGCUAGAGUGUGGCAGAGGGAGGUGGAAUUCCACGUGUAGCAGUGAAAUGCGUAGAGAUGUGGAGGAACACCGAUGGCGAAGGCAGCCUCCUGGGCCAGCACUGACGCUCAUGCACGAAAGCGUGGGGAGCAAACAGG
rnacentral:rRNA from 1 species